CGAAUCUCACGAGACGGCAUGGUACCAGAGCACCAUGGAAGAAGACAGCUCCUCCGGAGUUCGCCUAAUCAGUUUUUCCUUCAUACUAACCCUAAUUACGACGAUGACGGCAGCCUCUUACGACGAGUCGUCGUCGACGUGUUUGACGCUUUACGAACAAGGCGGUGCUCCCGCGGUUUUUCAAUCCCCAAAAUGCCCUCGCUGAAAGCGCGCCGAUUCCCUCCAGCGUUGCCAGACCGCCGUGCGUCGAGGUCUGAGAAACCUCCUCGAGGAUCGUGCUCUCGACCUUCGCAUUCCGUUUCCUGGUAAUUA
rnacentral:lncRNA from 1 species